AUUGAACGCUGGCGGCAGGCCUAACACAUGCAAGUCGAACGAGUGGCGGACGGGUGAGUAAUGUCUGGGAAACUGCCUGAUGGAGGGGGAUAACUACUGGAAACGGUAGCUAAUACCGCAUACCAUCGGAUGUGCCCAGAUGGGAUUAGCUAGUGGGUGGGGUAACGGCUCACCAAGGCGACGAUCCCUAGCUGGUCUGAGAGGAUGACCAGCCACACUGGAACGGAGACACGGUCCGUAGUCCGACGGGAGGCAGCAGUGGGGAAUAUUGCACAAUGGGCGCAAGCCUGAUGCAGCCAUGCCGCGUGUAUGAAGAAGGCCUUCGGGUUGUAAAGGACUUUCAGCGGGGAGGCGUUACCCGCAGAAGAAGCACCGGCUAACUCCGUGCCAGCAGCCGCGGUAAUAC
rnacentral:rRNA from 1 species